AGCGGCGGACGGGUUAGUAACGCGUGGGAACGUACCCUUCUCUGCGGAAUAGCCACUGGAAACGGUGAGUAAUACCGCAUACGCCCUUCGGGGGAAAGAUUUAUCGGAGAAGGAUCGGCCCGCGUCUGAUUAGAUAGUUGGUGGGGUAACGGCCUACCAAGUCUACGAUCAGUAGCUGGUUUUAGAGGAUGAUCAGCAACACUGGGACUGAGACACGGCCCAGACUCCUACGGGAGGCAGCAGUGGGGAAUCUUAGACAAUGGGCGCAAGCCUGAUCUAGCCAUGCCGCGUGAGUGAUGAAGGCCUUAGGGUCGUAAAGCUCUUUCGCCAGGGAUGAUAAUGACAGUACCUGGUAAAGAAACCCCGGCUAACUCCGUGCCAGCAGCCGCGGUAAUACGGAGGGGGUUAGCGUUGUUCGGAAUUACUGGGCGUAAAGCGCGCGUAGGCGGAUCAGAAAGUUGGGGGUGAAAUCCCGGGGCUCAACCCCGGAACUGCCUCCAAAACUCCUGGUCUUGAGUUCGAGAGAGGUGAGUGGAAUUCCGAGUGUAGAGGUGAAAUUCGUAGAUACUCGGAGGAACACCAGUGGCGAAGGCGGCUUACUGGCUCGAUACUGACGCUGAGGUGCGAAAGUGUGGGGAGCAAACAGGAUUAGAUACCCUGGUAGUCCACACCGUAAACGAUGAAUGCCAGUCGUCGGGUU
rnacentral:rRNA from 1 species